rnacentral:rRNA from 1 species
AACGAACGCUGGCGGCAUGGCUAAGACAUGCAAGUCGUACGGACCGUGUAGCAAUAUACGGUUAGUGGCGGAAGGGAGAGUAAUACAUGGGUAAUGUACCCUUGACACCGGGACAACGGCGGGAAACUGCUGCUAAUACCGGAUGAAGUCGCGGGGCGGCAUCGCCUUGUGACCAAAGGGCGGGGACCGAAAGGCCUGCCGGUCUUUGAGCAGCCCAUGUCCUAUCACCUAGUUGGCGAGGUAACGGCUCACCAAGGGUUCGACGGGUAGCGGGUGUGAGAGCAUGACCCGCCUCAUCGGGACUGAGACACUGCCCGGACAUCUACGGAUGGCUGCAGUAACGAAUCUUGGGCAAUGGGCGAAAGCCUGACCCAGCAAUGCCGCGUGCAGGAGGAAGUCCCUCGGGAUGUAAACUGCUUUUAGGGUCUGACAAAUGAUACGGGUGAACAAUCCGUAAAGUGGAGUGGACCCAGAAAAAGCCUCGGCUAACUCUGUGCCAGCAG